AAGUCGUAACAAGGUUUCCGUAGGUGAACCUGCGGAAGGAUCAUUAAAAAAAAGAGAAACGUCCCGUUUUUUUCAUAAGAAUGGGUUCUAUUCCCUUAAACCGUGUCUACAUACCUUUGUUGCUUUGGCAGGCCGCCUUCGGGCGUCGGCUCCGGCUGAUAGUGCCUGCCAGAGGACCCAAACUCUAUGUUUAGUGAUGUCUGAGUACUAUAUAAUAUUUAAAACUUUCAACAACGGAUCUCUUGGCUCUGGCAUCGAUGAAGAACGCAGCGAAAUGCGAUAUGUAAUGUGAAUUGCAGAAUUUAGUGAAUCAUCGAAUCUUUGAACGCACAUUGCGCCCCUUGGUAUUCCGAGGGGCAUGCCUGUCCGAGCGUCAUAUACACCAUUCAAGCUCUGCUUGGUAUUAGGCCGUGCCAGCGAUGGCAGGCCUUAAAUUUAGUGGCGGCACCGUUGGGUCCCGAGCGUAGUACUCACCUCGCUACGGGUCCUGGCAGCUGGCGACCAGCAACCCCAACUUCUUAAGGUUGACCUCGGAUCAGGUAGGAAUACCCGCUGAACUUAA
rnacentral:rRNA from 1 species